AUUGAACGCUGGCGGCAGGCCUAACACAUGCAAGUCGAGCGGAUGAGGGAAGCUUGCUUCCUGAUUUAGCGGCGGACGGGUGAGUAAUGCCUAGGAAUCUGCCUAUUAGUGGGGGAUAACGUUCCGAAAGGAACGCUAAUACCGCAUACGUCCUACGGGAGAAAGUGGGGGAUCUUCGGACCUCACGCUAAUAGAUGAGCCUAGGUCGGAAUAGCUAGUUGGUGGGGUAACGGCUCACCAAGGCGACGAUCCGUAGCUGGUAUGAGAGGAUGAUCAGCCACACUGGAACUGAGACACGGUCCAGACUCCUACGGGAGGCAGCAGUGGGGAAUAUUGGACAAUGGGCGAAAUCCUGAUCCAGCCAUGCCGCGUGUGUGAAGAAGGUCUUCGGAUUGUAAAGCACUUUAAGUUGGGAGGAAGAGUUGUAAGCUAAUAUCUUGCAGCUUUGACGUUACCAACAGAAUAAGCACCGGCUAACUCUGUGCCAGCCGCCGCCGUAAGAC
rnacentral:rRNA from 1 species